UACGAAGGGGGCUAGCGUUGCUCGGAAUCACUGGGCGUAAAGAGCGUGUAGGCGGCCAGGUAGGUCGGUUGUGAAAACUGGAGGCUCAACCUUCAGAGGUCGACCGAAACCAUCUGGCUUGAGACCGGGAGAGGUGAGUGGAAUUCCCAGUGUAGCGGUGAAAUGCGUAGAUAUCGAGAGGAACACCUGCGGCGAAGGCGGGUAGCUGGGCCGAACACGUGACGCUGGAUGCGCGAAAGCCAGGGGAGCGAACGGG
rnacentral:rRNA from 1 species